GACGAAGGGGGGCUAGCGUUGUUCGGAAUUACUGGGCGUAAAGCGCGUGUAGGCGGUUUGUUAAGUGCAGGGUGAAAGCUCCCGGCUCAACUGGGAGAGGUCCUUGCAUACUGGCGAACUCGAGGGAGGCAGAGGAAAGUGGAAUUCCCGGUGUAGUGGUGAUAUGCGUAGAUAUCGGGAGGAACACCUGUGGCGAAGGCGGCUUUCUGGGCCUUACCUGACGCUGAGACGCGAAAGCGUGGGGAGCGAACCGG
rnacentral:rRNA from 1 species